UACGCGAUAACCAUAAAUAACUUUCUGGGAGAUGUUUACUUGUUACUUUAAAAAAAUAUAUAAUAAUGUAAACAUUUUGUAAAUAAUCAUAGCUAGCAAUACGACAUUUAAGUUGCUGCUUCAGUCUCCUUGUUAAUUGUGCCGAAAAUAAUUUAUAUGGCCAACUACUCCUCACUUCCUAUUUAAUAUUGCCAUAGCAACAUACCUGCUACUUCAUAGCUUUCCCUGGCUCCACAAACCAGUAACUCCCUAACAUUAGCUAGCUAACAAGAAAUGCCAGCUAAAACGUGUGACUAACUAGGGUUUACGGCUGUACGGAUAAUUGACCAAUGUAUUUGUCAAACUAAUUAACUAAUUUCAACGGCUCUGUUUUGGAUGGCUGUUCAUCUUGAAAUUUUCCUCAUAAUGCUAUACUGUAGCCACCCCCUGGCGAAACCAACAUGGCAUCUGAUAGCUAGCUACCCAUUACAUGAGGGCAGGAAAAAUAAGUGACGGGGUGUAAAGACCAAAGGCUGAUGUCCUGAAGGUCCAGGUGGACAUUGAGGAGCUCAUAGCCUCUGGCCACAUUGCCCUAAAGCAAGGGGACUGUGAAGAAGCCCUCAGCCUCUUCAAAAAGGCCUUCAAAGCUUCCAUAGAGCUAAAGGAGACCAGGGUCCAGCGGGCAUGUGCCUUUAACCUGGGAGCUACCUACGUGGAGGCGGGUAAAGCCCUGAAGGGGCUGGACUUCCUGAAGCGGGCCCAGCCAGGAGAGAGGGGCGAGCGGAUAGCAGACCUCCAGUUCAACCUGGCCGUAGCCCAUGAGCCCCUGGGGAACCACAGCCAGGCAGCUGUUCACUGCCUCCAGGCAGCCCAGCUGUACCGCUCCCAGGGGGAUGGGGCCAGUGAGGGGGAGACCUGCAUGAAAAUGUCCCACUGUCACCUGCUCCUAAAGGACUGGACCCAGGCAGCUUAGAGCUUCCAGAGGGCUGGGGAGAGCUACAGGAUGGCAGGCAAGCUGGACUCAGCCGCCACGGCCUUCAAAUAGGCAGGGAGUCACAUGCUCCAAUCAGAUGACUUCACCAUGGAUGAUAUCAUCACCGUGCUCACUGAUUGCCUCGAGCUUAGCAACAACAUCAAAAACCCAGAGUUCCUCGCCUUUCAGGUAAGGUGUACAAUGACCUGGGCCUGAGUUUCUCCCAGCUGAAGUUGUUCCAGGAGGCAGCCUGGUGCUAUGAGCGGGCCCUGCCCAUGCUCAGCACCAGGCCCAAAAGGCUGGCCGUGGUCCUACAGAACCUGGGAGCCGUUCACAACACACUGAGCCAGUACCGGCAGGCCCUGGACUACCACCGAUAGACAGCCAGCCUGCAUGGGUCUUUGGGCAGUCGUCGUGCUCAGGGCCGCUGCUUCAGUAACUUGGCCUUUGCCCUCAGUCAGCUGAGGGAGCAUGAGGAGGCAGCAGAGAACGACCUCCAAGCCCUGCAGGCCUUCAAAGACACUGGUACAAAAUCAAGUCCAACUUUAUUCUUUCUAAGAAUAAUGAUAAGCACAUUUUUCAUGUUGGAAGUGUGUUCUAAAUGUUUAAACGGGCUAUUAAUGACUCUUUACAUCCAUUGACCCCUUUUGACACUAAGUCUCACCCUCAUUUGCUCUCUCUUGUUUACUUAACUUUCUCAAUAUCUCUUUAUAUUUGUCUGUCUGUCUGUGUCUGUCUGUCUGUAAGGGCCAAUGGCAGGCUUGUGAGGGUUUAGGGGAAGCUCGCUUUAAGUUGAGAGAGCCACCCUCUACUACAAACAAGCUCUGGGUUUACUGUCAAAGUGCAAGGACACGUCCAGCUCGGUCCAGGAGCAUCUGGUCAACAAGCUGAGUGAGGCCCUGCAACACAGGCUGUCACUGAUCACCCCUAGAAAACCCCAGUGAGUGGAGCUGGCUCUGCAGAGGUGUCUACCGGAGAGCAGGGGAAGGAGGAGGAAGCCCCGGGUCCAGAUGGAGAACAGGCACACACAGUGACGAUGGGAGAAGCAUGUGACUCCCAGUCACCGGUGACAAGAUCUCUCACUGAGAAGCCGGGGUAUCUGACUGUGCUGCCAGGGGCAUACAGGCAAUGCAUUUAACACACACACUGUCGUAGCAGAAUUAGUUAGGUAACAUUGAUAAAUAAGAUGUUUUAUCUACUUUCAUAAAUAUGCUUAUGUGGGAAAAGUCACUUGGGGCCCAGCGAGGGGAGGGGUCAGGAUUGUCUUCAUAUGUGAGGGUAUCUGUUAAACCAUGUGAAGGGCUCCACAAUGUCUGUACACCAGUCACUCCCUACUUUUCCCAUUGGGGGGAGGAGUAUGGCAGUGUCUGGAACCAUUGUAUGUCCCCUCUGAUGUCGAAACUUGUCUUUCAUAGUAUAUGACCUAGAGGCUCACUCCUCUCAGGGAGCUUGUCCAGGGGUGGGUUGUAUUUGAGAUGGGAGUAUCUAGAAUUGACAAUUGAUAUAUGCCAUUGGAUGAGGUAAUGUUUUGGUAAUAUGAAGUACCAAGAACGAGAAGUAGAACCUUGUCUAAGAACGCAAACUGAAUGAUAAUUUAUAGCUAAUGCUCUCUGGCUAUGGAAUACUCCUCUCUCAAGUAAAAGUCUUCCUUUGUGCAGUUUUCCUAAGACCUGUGGUUUGUCAUUGUGAGUUGAGAGGGGUGGAUCUUUGCUGUGAAAGAUCUCAGUUGCCAUUAUGUUGACACUCUCAGAAUUCAUUUAUAGACACUGAAUUGAUCUGAGAGUCAAAGGGCUAUGGUGAAGCUCAUAUUAUUAAAAGAUUAAGUUUAAAGUAUAACUCUGACUUGUGUGUGGUUUGUAAACUCUCCUUUCACUUAGUAAUACAGGAAAUUACCACGACACACACACUGUAAACAUCAUCAUACAUGCUCACACAGUGCACAUAAUCACUCAUUUACUGUACACAUUAGCACACAUACAUGGAUGCACCAUUAUACACACAUGUGCAUACGCUCAAUAACACCCAUCCAGACAACUCAUAAAGAAACCCGGAGUAAUUUUACUUGUUGUGAUUGACUCUGAUUCUUUAUUAGCACACUGGAAAAUCAAACAGUUUUUCAUUUCGUGCCACCAGACUCCGGCCUCUUAAAUUGUUUAUUUUUGCAGAAUGUCUUUUAAGGUAUAAACACCUAUUGGGUUUUCUUAAAUUACACUGAAGAAGAUGAGCUCUGUGAGUGUCUGCUCUGCAGAGAAGAAUUGAAUAAUAGGGAAAUGGAGAGUUAUUAGCCAGCCACAGAUGUAGCAGAAGAGCACCAGCAGAGAAAACAAAACCGCAUACAUAAUUCAUGUACAUGGCGAUGACCUUGGCCUCCACUGAUGAUUCACUACCAUCCCCCUGUAAAAACACACACACACACUCAUUUCUGCAUAGCUGCACUGUUUGUUAUUCUCCCGUUCCCAGAGUAACCAUAUAUAUAAGAUGCCUUUAACUUGGCAUUGCUGUGUGUGUGUGGCCAGUGUUACACUGCUGCUUGUCAUUUUAAAUUAUUCUUGAAAAUUAAUUUUUGAGAUGAUCAUGUUUAAGCGUGCCUCUUCCUCUCACCUCCAGGAACCUGAAUAAUACAUAUGAGCAGCCCGACCCGACCACCAUUAUUAGAACCAGGACCCAUCAAACCACCCUGUACUCACCCAGCAGAGCGAGCAUUUAUAUGAGAGCAUUAAACCGAGGACGACACAGACUAACAGUGAGACUCCAUUGUCCGAAAGCUCCGAAGUUUCAUCCACUGGUGCGACAGAUAAUGAAGAGACCAUAACCCUGUUAAAGAAACGGAAGUCCUAAAUCUGCACAGUCAUGUGACUAGAUGCAAGUCCAAGUUAAUGUGGUUGGUUAAUUGAAAGCAUUCAUAGGAAUGACUCUAUUGAGUGUAUUUCUGUGGGUCAAAUCUGCUCUUUGCACAUUGGUAUUAAAAAUUCUAAUGCACAUGUGUUACUGUAUAACAUUGUCUGUCUCAUCUCCUGCACGUACAAGUGUUGCCUUGUCAUUGCAUUUGUCUUCCAAACAAUCCCUGUGUGUAUGCUGGUCAUUGUCCCCCACACUAAAAUUGGGGAAGGCACUGUGGAUCUGUUUCCGUCCAUUAGUACGUUCAUAUGUUAGUCACAAGCGAUAUCUCAGACAGCAUUGGCCAGGUUUUGACUAAACUUUGGUGAAUGAUGCAUCUUGCCAUAGCUUUACAGAAUUUAGAAAAUUACACUGAUUUGGCCAGAUGGUGGCCCUGUAACGAGAUUGAAAAUGCAAACUUUGAAAGGUCAUGCCCCUCACCCCGUUAUACCUUAAGUCAUGAAAUUUAGUAGAUCGGUUCCUGUCUUCACAAGGAACAAAUUUGCCUUGGAACCCAUACGUUCCGCCAUGAUGGAUUUUCCGCCAUUUUGAAUUGUGUGAAAAACACUUAACCCUACUCGUCUGAUACCGAAUGACCAAUAUGCACGAAACUUGAUAUGUGGCAUUUAUGGAAAACGAUCUCUCAACGCAAUAUUUUCCAGACUGGUAGCUAAAUCAACAUGGCCGCUAUUGACCAAUAAACAUUCACCUGGGUGUGGUCUGGCACAUAACUGCAUAUAAAUCAGUAAAAGACAUUCGUAUUGUAACAGAAUUUGAUAAACCCUGUCAAGACUCAACAUAUGUAAGAACAUUCAUAUCGACCUUGCUGUGGCGCUAUAACGGGCAUACCACAAAAAUAGAAAAUGUAGCAUAUAAUUGACAUAACUUUACAGAAAACAUUGACACACCUCAGUAUGUACAACAUAAAAUAUGUCAAAGAGAAUCCCAAAAGAGAAAGAAACAAAUAUUUCAUACCAAACAUAUCAUUCAAACAAAGAAAAGACCAUUCAAAUCUGUUAAUCUGUUUGUUUUAGUGAUGAAAUUUGGCACGCAUGUUUAGGGAUAUGAGCUAACCCACACGAUAUCUCAGACACCACUGGCCCAAUUUUGACAAAAUUUGGGUGAAUGAUUAGUCAUGCUAUAGAGAUCUGAAAUUGACCAAAUUAUACAUUUUGGGCCGGGGGGGCUAUAGUAAUCAACUGUACAUACGUUAGUCAUUUGUGGGGGGAUGACAUGUUUACUGUUGCCUUAUUUCAAGGUGUCUUGGUAGUCAAUAUUCUAAGAUUGUCAUAAUGUGUAUCAUUUCUUCAAUCAUGCUAACUUAAAUCUCUGCUCUUCACUUGAAUCAUGGUUGUACAAUUUGAAAUAAAUGUAAUCU